rnacentral:rRNA from 1 species
GAUGAACGCUGGCGGCGUGCCUAAUACAUGCAAGUCGAGCGAACGGACGAGAAUCUUGCUUCUCUGAUGUUAGCGGCGGACGGGUGAGUAACACGUGGAUAACCUACCUAUAAGACUGGGAUAACUUCGGGAAACCGGAGCUAAUACCGGAUAAUAUUUUGAACCGCAUGGUUCAAAAGUGAAAGACGGUCUUGCUGUCACUUAUAGAUGGAUCCGCGCUGCAUUAGCUAGUUGGUAAGGUAACGGCUUACCAAGGCAACGAUGCAUAGCCGACCUGAGAGGGUGAUCGGCCACACUGGAACUGAGACACGGUCCAGACUCCUACGGGAGGCGGCAGUAGGGAAUCUUGCGCAAUGGGCGAAAGCCUGACGGAGCAACGCCGCGUGAGUGAUGAAGGUCUUCGGAUCGUAAAACUCUGUUAGUAGGGAAGAACAUAUGUGUAAGUAACUGUGCACAUCUUGACGGUACCUAAUCAGAAAGCCACGGCUAACUACGUG